CGUGCCUAAUACAUGCAAGUCGAACGCACUCUCGUUUAGAUUGAAGGAGCUUGCUCCUGAUUGAUAACAUUUGAGUGAGUGGCGGACGGGUGAGUAACACGUGGGUAACCUGCCCUAAAGUGGGGGAUAACAUUUGGAAACAGAUGCUAAUACCGCAUAAAACCUAACACCGCAUGGUGUAGGGUUGAAAGAUGGUUUCGGCUAUCACUUUAGGAUGGACCCGCGGUGCAUUAGUUAGUUGGUGAGGUAAAGGCUCACCAAGACCGUGAUGCAUAGCCGACCUGAGAGGGUAAUCGGCCACACUGGGACUGAGACACGGCCCAGACUCCUACGGGAGGCAGCAGUAGGGAAUCUUCCACAAUGGACGAAAGUCUGAUGGAGCAACGCCGCGUGAGUGAAGAAGGUUUUCGGAUCGUAAAACUCUGUUGUUGGAGAAGAAUGUAUCUGAUAGUAACUGAUCAGGUAGUGACGGUAUCCAACCAGAAAGCCACGGCUAACUACGUG
rnacentral:rRNA from 1 species